rnacentral:rRNA from 1 species
GGUCGACGAUCCUACGGGAGGCAGCAGUGGGGAAUAUUGCACAAUGGGCGAAAGCCUGAUGCAGCGACGCCGCGUGAGGGAUGACGGCCUUCGGGUUGUAAACCUCUUUCAGCAGGGACGAAGCGAGAGUGACGGUACCUGCAGAAGAAGCACCGGCUAACUACGUGCCAGCAGCCGCGGUAA